CUCCUACGGGAGGCAGCAGUAGGGAAUAUUGCGCAAUGGACGGAAGUCUGACGCAGCGACGCCGCGUGAGCGAUGAAGGCCUUCGGGUCGUAAAGCUCUGUCCUUGGGGAAGAAGGUCUUCGGACUUGACGGUACCCAAGAAGAAAGCCCCGGCUAACUACGUGCCAGCAGCCGCGGUAAUACGUAGGGGGCGAGCGUUGUCCGGAAUUACUGGGCGUAAAGGGUGCGUAGGCGGCCCUUUAAGUCAGAUGUGAAAGCCCGCAGCUUAACUGCGGAAUUGCAUUUGAAACUGGAGGGCUUGAGUGUCGGAGAGGGUAGUGGAAUUCCCAGUGUGGCGGUGAAAUGCGUAGAUAUUGGGAGGAACACCAGUGGCGAAGGCGACUGCCUGGACGAUAACUGACGCUGAGGCACGAAAGCUAGGGGAGCAAACAGGAUUAGAUACCCUGGUAGUCCUAGCCGUAAACGAUGGGUACUAGGUGUAGGUGGUUUCGAUAC
rnacentral:rRNA from 1 species